CAGACCUGCCCAGACCUUGGCUGGGCUCUGAGGCAAACCUUCCAGACGGGAUGACCGAGGCUGCAGUUGAGGCCUGAGUCAGGAAAGAUGGAGCAGGAGAUAAAGUCCUGGGCUGGAAAAGAAUGAAUGUCACAACUCUCUCCAUUUUACAGACAGUGGCUCCGAAGGGCUUUCAUCACACGCAUCAUCUUGGAGCCCCUCGACCUCUCUGUGAGGCAGGCCCUGCCUUCGUGCUGUUAAUUCUGCCCACCGCGUUUUCCUGUACGGUCCCCUCUGAAAGCUCCACAGCCUUUCCUAUUGAGCUCAAGUGUCCCCUGCUCUUGGUAAGUAUAUUCGCCUCCUAGGGCCCUCAUGACAAAGCACCACAAACUGGGUGGCCUCAAUAGCAGACACUUAUGCUCUCACAGUUGUGCCCCUAACACAGGAGAAGCUAGAUACCUCUGGUGUUUCAGCUUAACGCUUACAGCUAAUUGCAGUCAUUCAGGUUUUACAGCUCACAGCCUCAGAUCCUAUUAACUUUGUCUGUGAUUCAGCUUAUGUUGUAAAUGUAGCCAGUCGCAUAGAAACUGCCACAAUUAAAAGUACACUAGACCCAGAACUGCUUAAUUAGUUAAUUAAUUAAUUUAUUUUUGAGAUGGAGUUUUGCUCUGUUGCCUAGGAUAUAGUGCAGUGGCACAAUCUCAGCUCACUGCAAGCUCCGCCUCCCGGGUU
rnacentral:lncRNA from 10 species